CUUUAUAAUGAUGAUAUUUACCGCCCCAGUCUGAUUUCUAUGAAGACUGGUACCUUACUGAUACAAA
rnacentral:snoRNA from 1 species